UUACGGUUAAGUAAAGCUAGCCGUACCUAACAGCCGCACCUUAGCCGUACCUUAGCCGUACUUAAGAAAAUUCGUAAUUAGCAGCUCUGUGUGAAUAUCUAUGCCGAUAAAAAUGAUGCAAAAUGGAGCACUCCAUCGUCGAGCCCCAGUAACCCCCAGGGAAUCCUCAAUGAUGAAAUACCGAUAAUAAUAUAUCUUACAUGUAUUAUAAUUUUUAUAAAAUGAUUUUAAUACAAAUACAAAAGAGAUUUUUAAAA